rnacentral:rRNA from 1 species
UAGGGAAUAUUGGACAAUGGGCGAAAGCCUGAUCCAGCAAUGCCGCGUGAGCGAUGAAGGCCUUAGGGUUGUAAAGCUCUUUUACCCGGGAUGAUAAUGACAGUACCGGGAGAAUAAGCCCCGGCUAACUCCGUGCCAGCAGCCGCGGUAAUACGGAGGGGGCUAGCGUUGUUCGGAAUUACUGGGCGUAAAGCGCACGUAGGCGGCGAUUUAAGUCAGAGGUGAAAGCCUGGAGCUCAACUCCAGAACUGCCUUUGAGACUGGAUUGCUUGAAUCACGGAGAGGUGGGUGGAAUUCCGAGUGUAGAGGUGAAAUUCGUAGAUAUUCGGAAGAACACCAGUGGCGAAGGCGGCCCACUGGACGUGUAUUGACGCUGAGGUGCGAAAGCGUGGGGAGCAAA